GGUGUGUCUGCAGGGAGCACUUCCCCAGAUCUUGAGGUGGUUACUGCACCCAAGCCCGACUCCCAUCGCAGGGGUCCUCCAAAAAGAAAGACCCAAGAUAAUGGAACCAAAAAGUCUCUAUUGUCAAAUGAUUUCCUGAGACCAACAGAGAAAGAAGUGCAGGGAGGACAAGCUGGCACCACAACUCAUGCUCAGAAUAUCGGGGAAAGCAUGAGAAGAAUUUUCAGCCCAGGAACACAUGGUUUGAUUAAGCUAAUGGCCAUUUUGGUUGCUGGAGCCCUUUUCCUGAUGAUGUGCUGUGCUGGAAUCUGGUAUUGUUGGAACAGAAAAGGGUGAGUGUUUUGCUGAUCUCUACCUCAAACAGCUUCUUGAAAGGUUGCUCAUAGUAAACAUUCCCAGUGGAGGCUGCUGUGGACUUGUGGAUAGUCCUUCGUUGCCCAAAUAACUCUGCUGAGGGUUCUGCUGCUGCUCAGCCCUUUUAUUGGCCUCCUAAUUGCUGGGCCUUGUC